UCCAUUAAGACCGAACUCAAUAAUUUUGAAAGUCGCUUGCUGAAGUUGCGACAUCUGCAUACCGAGCAUGCUCUGCACAAGGAGAAGUACAAGGAUGAGAAGCACAAGGACAAAAGCAACCGCUUCGAAGAUAUGGAGGAUCAAUUGAAAAAACAAGCACGCAAGGUGGAAAAAUUGCAGGAGAACAUUGAGAAAACUAUCUUCAAGCAUUCAGAGCUAUGAUCAAAACGAAUCAUUAAACGUGCCAAGCGAAUAAAUUAGAUUUAAGAAC